AUAAUUAUUCUUCCGUUACAGUGUUAAACACAAACAAAAAACUCACAACCCCCUUGACUCUUGGAUUCAAGAGAAGAAAAAAGAAUACGGAAUAUUGUAUUGUUAGUUGAAGGUCUCAUUUUUCUUCUUAUCCUAAUUCUGAGUUAUCUCACUCUCUUUGCUAUCGACAAAAAGGCUUUGGGAGGAUACUACAGGAUGGAACAUGAAUUCUUGGUGUAGCAAUUCACUUUAACUCUAGCGUUUUGGGCGAGUUAGAUUUAUGGAGACUAAUGAUAUCACCAGGUUGGAUGCGUUCUCGAAGACAAUGUAGUUGCUUUGUCGGAACUAAUCUCUUACUGGAUCACAUUAAGAAUGUUUCGACGGAUCAAUCACGAAAGCUAUAUGUUAUAUGAUAUAAACCAAGUUAGGAAUACGUCUACAUUGACCUCUCCAUUUGUCCAACUAAAGAGUUUAGACCUUGUGCGUUGGGCUGGAGACUAAAUUCGCAUGCAAAUUAUGGUGAUAAUUUUUUAAAAAAAUUUCUUUAUUGUAUCAUAUUUGAUGAGUGGAAGUCGAGGAGUUGAAGUGUUACUUAUCACUGGGUGGCAUCUCAAUCCUUGGGCACAAGUUCAACUUCAUAAGAUGCCGAAAUUUGCACUCCGUUAACACAUAUAUAACAGGAAAUGACCACAUGAAGGUGACUGAAGGGUUUGAAUACAAAGCCUAUAAGAUUCAUUGCCACACACAUCCUGUACACAUGAUGGCAGUAGCAGCUCCCCAACGUUGGCUAAGGUUAAAAUAUUCACACAUACAGCUUCCGGUGCAUAAUUUUCUUAGAAGUUGCAGAUAAUUCGACAAAAGAAAGAGUGACCAAGACAAGGUCGUUGUAUGCCCAAGUCAGAUGUCAAUCGAGUAAAUGAAUAUUGUUCCCCCCUUUUAUUCUAUUGAUCAUUUAGUGACCAUGCAAGGUUUUUCGUAUGAUGUGUUUUAGUGUAAUGUUUUAUGAAUCAUAUACGAACAAUUGAGCUCCAAAGUUGGUUAAAUUAGACGGAUCUGUGGAUUUCCUUUGGUUUAGUUAAAUUUGUAAUCCUUUAUAGCGUUUAAUUUUUGGGAUUUAUAAGUUU